AAGUCGUAACAAGGUUUCCGUAGGUGAACCUGCGGAAGGAUCAUUACUGAAUUGUCAAACGGGUUGUUGCUGGCCCUCAUAGGGGGCAUGUGCACGCUCUGUUUACACAUCCACUCACACCUGUGCACCCUCUGUAGUUCUAUGGUCUGGGGGACCCUGUCUUCCUUCUGUGGUUCUACGUCUUUACACACACACUGUAAUAAAGUUCUAUGGAAUGUACAUAGCGUCUAACGCAAUACAAUACAA
rnacentral:misc_RNA from 1 species